AUUGAACGCUGGCGGCAGGCCUAACACAUGCAAGUCGAGCGAGCGGCGGACGGGUGCGUAAUGUAUGGGGACUGCCCGAUAGAGGGGGAUCACUACUGGCAACGGUGGCUAAUACCGCAUACUAUCGUAUCACCCAUAUGGGAUUAGCUAGUGGGUGGGGUAAAGGCUCACCUAGGCGACGAUCCCUUGCUGGUCUGAGAGGAUGAUCGGCCAACCUGGGACUGGGACACGGCCCAGACUCCUACGGAGGCAGCAGUGGGGAAUAUUGGACAAUGGGCGCAAGCCUGAUGCAGCCAUGCCGCGUGUAUGAAGAAGGCCUUAGGGUUGUAAAGUACUUUCAGCGGGGAGGCGUUACCCGAAGAAGAAGCACCGGCUAACUCCGUGCCAGCCGCCGCGGUAAUAC
rnacentral:rRNA from 1 species